CCUACGGGAGGCAGCAGUGAGGAAUAUUGGUCAAUGGGCGCAAGCCUGAACCAGCCAUGCCGCGUGCAGGACGACGCAUCUAUGGUGUGUAAACUGCUUUUGUACGGGAAGAAACCCUGCCACGAGUGGCAGAUUGACGGUACCGUAAGAAUAAGGAUCGGCUAACUCCGUGCCAGCAGCCGCGGUAAUACGGAGGAUCCAAGCGUUAUCCGGAAUCAUUGGGUUUAAAGGGUCCGUAGGCGGUUUUAUAAGUCAGUGGUGAAAUCCGGCAGCUCAACUGUCGAACUGCCAUUGAUACUGUAGGACUUGAAUUAUUGUGAAGUAACUAGAAUAUGUAGUGUAGCGGUGAAAUGCUUAGAUAUUACAUGGAAUACCCAUUGCGAAGGCAGGUUACUAACAAUAUAUUGACGCUGAUGGACGAAAGCGUGGGGAGCGAACAGGAUUAGAUACCCUGGUAGUCCACGCCGUAAACGAUGGAUACUAGCUGUUCGGUCGCAAGACUGAGUGGNGUAGAGAAGUAGAGUAAGUAUACCACCGUACGGGAGGUAACGAACGACGAAGUUAGUAAACGUAACGAAAGUAAGUAAGUUAGUACGGACGUGAGACGUACGACCGAACGGACGACGACGAGGGGAGGGAGGGAG
rnacentral:rRNA from 1 species